UACGUAGGGAACGAGCGUUGUCCGGAAUCAUUGGGCGUAAAGAGCGUGUAGGCGGCUUGUUAAGUCUUGCGUGAAAUCUCGGGGCUCAACCCCGAGCGGUCGUGAGAAACUGGCAGGCUAGAGUGCGGGAGAGGAGAGUGGAAUUCCUGGUGUAGCGGUGAAAUGCGCAGAUAUCAGGAAGAACACCCGUGGCGAAGGCGGCUCUCUGGAACGCAACUGACGCUGAGACGCGAAAGCGUGGGGAGCAAACAGG
rnacentral:rRNA from 1 species